rnacentral:piRNA from 1 species
CAUGUGGGUGCUGGAAAUGGAAC